CGCCUUGCCAGCCCGCUACAGAACUUAAAGGAAUUGACGGGGGCCCGCACAAGCGGAGGAGCAUGUGGUUAAUUCGAUGAUACGCGAGGAACCUUACCUGGGCUCGAACGUAAGAUGACUGUAGGUGAAAGCUUACAUCUCUUCGGAGCAUUUUACGAGGUGCUGCAUGGUUGUCGUCAGCUCGUGCCGUGAGGUGUCGGGUUAAGUCCCAUAACGAGCGCAACCCCUACCUUUAGUUGCCAUCAGGUUAAGCUGGGGACUCUAAAGGAACUGCCUACGCAAGUAGUGAGGAAGGCGGGGAUGACGUCAAAUCAGCACGGCCCUUACGUCCAGGGCUACACACGUGCUACAAUGGCCGAUACAGAGGGCAGCUACCUGGUGACAGGAUGCAAAUCUCCAAAGUCGGUCUCAGUUCGGAUCGGAGUCUGCAACCCGACUCCGUGAAGUUGGAUUCGCUAGUAAUCGCGCAUCAGCCAUGGCGCGGUGAAUACGUUCCCGGGCCUU
rnacentral:rRNA from 1 species